UACGUAGGCACCAAGCGUUGUCCGGAUUUAUUGGGCGUAAAGAGCUCGUAGGCGGUUCGGUAAGUCGGGUGUGAAAACUCUGGGCUCAACCCAGAGAGGCCACCCGAUACUGCCGUGACUGGAGUGCGGUAGGGGAGUGGGGAAUUCCUGGUGUAGCGGUGAAAUGCGCAGAUAUCAGGAGGAACACCAGUGGCGAAGGCGCCACUCUGGGCCGUAACUGACGCUGAGGAGCGAAAGCGUGGGGAGCGAACAGG
rnacentral:rRNA from 1 species